rnacentral:rRNA from 1 species
UAAGAGGUCCAGCCUGCCCUGUGACUAUAUGUUUAACGGCCGCGGAAUUUUGACCGUGCAAAGGUAGCGCAAUCACUUGUCUUUUAAAUGAGGACCCGUAUGAAUGGCUCCACGAGGGCUUAACUGUCUCCUUUUUCAGGUCGAUGAAAUUGAUCUCCCCGUGCAGAAGCGGGGAUAAUUACAUAAGACGAGAAGACCCUGUGGAGCUUAAGACCCAAUGCAGGACACCUACUAACACUUUAGACAAUAAAGACUGAGACAUAUGACCCCUGCAAGACGGUCUUUGGUUGGGGUGACCGAGGGGAAAAACAAAGCCCCCACGAGGACUAGGAGUCUUACUCUAAAACCAAGAGCCACAACUCUAAGUAUCAGAAAUUCUGACCUUAUUUGACCCGGGCAACCGAUCAACGAACCGAGUUACCCCAGGGAUAACAGCGCAAUCCUCUUAAAGAGUCCCUAUCGACCAGAGGGUUUACGACCUCGAUGUUGGAUCAGGACAUCCUAAUGGCGCAGCCGCUAUUAAGGGUUCGUUUGUUCAACG